AAAAAAAUUACUAGUUAUUAAUCAUAUUAAUAUUAUAUUAUUAAUAUGAGAAACUAUUAGUAAUAGAAACAUGGAAAUAUUAAGUAAUAAGUGUACUGAAAAUAAGAUUACAAUCAAUAAAUCUUAAAAGGAGACGUCUACCACAGCAACCAAACGAAAAUAAAUGAUUCGAUUAACCUGAUUUUUGUUUUGACGCAAGAGUUAUAUAUACCUUGCCCAAUCCACUCCGAUUGGAAUUGACUAAGCGGGUAUUUUUUCCACAUUCAUAGGAGUUCGUCUAUGUUUCUGCUUUACGAAUAUGAUAUUUUCUGGGCAUUUUUAAUAAUAUCAAGUGCUAUUCCUGUUUUGGCAUUUCUAAUUUCCGGGGUUUUAUCUCCAAUUACGAAGGGGCCGGAGAAACUUUCUAGUUAUGAAUCAGGUAUAGAACCGAUCGGGGAUGCUUGGUUACAAUUUAGAAUCCGUUAUUAUAUGUUUGCUCUAGUUUUUGUUGUUUUUGAUGUUGAAACCGUUUUUCUGUAUCCGUGGGCAAUGAGUUUCGAUGUACUAGGGGUAUCCGCUUUUAUAGAAGCUUUCAUUUUCGUGCUUAUCCUAAUUCUUGGUUUAGUUUAUGCAUGGCGAAAAGGAGCGUUGGAAUGGUCUUAGUUCGUUUCCUGAAUACUUGUACAAUAACAAUAAAAAAAAAGUAAAAAAAAACCAUUGAAACAAUUAUGAAUUCCAUUAAGUUUCCCGUACUUGAUCGAACAACAAAAAACUCAGUUAUUUCAACUACGUUAAAUGAUCUUUCAAAUUGGUCAAGACUUUCCAGCCUAUGGCCGCUUCUUUAUGGUACCAGUUGUUGUUUUAUUGAAUUUGCCUCAUUAAUAGGCUCCCGAUUUGACUUUGAUCGUUAUGGGCUAGUACCAAGAUCAAGUCCUAGACAGGCGGACCUUAUUUUAACAGCAGGUACAGUAACAAUGAAAAUGGCUCCUUCUUUAGUGAGAUUAUAUGAACAAAUGCCUGAACCAAAGUAUGUUAUUGCUAUGGGAGCGUGUACAAUUACAGGGGGGAUGUUCAGUACCGAUUCUUAUAGUACUGUUCGAGGGGUUGAUAAGCUAAUUCCUGUAGAUGUCUAUUUGCCGGGUUGUCCACCUAAACCAGAGGCUGUUAUAGACGCUAUAACAAAGCUUCGUAAGAAAAUAGCUAGAGAAAUCUAUAAGGAUCGAAUUAGACCUCAACGGGGUAAUCGGUGUUUUACUACCAAUCACAAGUUUUUGUUGUACGCAGUACACAGACUGGAAAUUAUGAUCAAGAAUUACUCUAUCCACCAUCAUCUACUUCAGAGAUCUCUACUGAAACAUUUUUUAAAUACAAAAGCCCAGUAUCUUCCCACGAAUUAGUGAAUUAGGGAGGAUUUGAGAGAAUAAGAAAAAAAUCUUCAUAAAUUAGAACUCAUGGUAAAUGUGAAAUACUUAAAUUUAUAUAAAAAGGGUGUGGGGGAAAUAAAAAAGAUGCAGGGCACUUUGUCCGUUUGGCUAGCCAAACGCGGGCUGGUUCAUAGAUCGUUGGGCUUCGAUUACCAAGGAAUAGAGACUUUACAAAUAAAGCCCGAAGAUUGGCAUUCUAUUGCUGUAAUUUUAUAUGUAUAUGGUUACAAUUAUUUACGUUCCCAAUGUGCCUAUGAUGUGGCACCAGGUGGCCUCUUAGCCAGUGUGUAUCAUCUUACGAGAAUAGAAUAUGGUGUCAAUCAAGCGGAAGAAGUUUGCAUAAAAGUAUUUACUCACAGGAGUAAUCCCAGAAUUCCAUCUGUUUUCUGGGUUUGGAAAAGUACGGAUUUUCAAGAACGGGAAUCUUAUGAUAUGUUAGGAAUCACUUAUGAUAGCCAUCCGCGGCUGAAACGGAUCUUAAUGCCCGAAAGUUGGAUAGGGUGGCCUUUACGUAAGGAUUAUAUUGCCCCCAAUUUUUAUGAAAUACAAGAUGCUUAUUGAAUGAUAAAAAAUUUGAAUGAUAAAAAUGAGUCUUAGUUUCUACAACUACGGACCUUCGCGGAAUAUUUUGAAUUCGAGUCGUUUUUAGAUCAAACAAACAGAAGAAUUAAGGUCUUAUUCAUAUUAUUAUAGAUAGCUUAAUCUCCAAUUUGAAAGAUACUUUUUUCCUAAAAGCCGAGCCAAUAGGAUGAA